UCUUUUUUUUUGUCUCUCUCUAUAUCUCUUUCGUUCAUCUCUUUCUUUCUCUAUCUCUCUCUCUCGCUGAUCAUUUCCUGUUUCUCUCUUUUUCUAUUCCUCUCUCUUCCUAGCUUUCAUUGUGCAGCAAAAUGGACACCGGGUUUUUCUGUUUCAUCUCUUCCCUAGCUUUCUCUUAUUCGCGCUCGUUUUUUUCCCUCAACCAAAAAUCCCCAAAUCUCAAAUCCCUAAUCUUUUGAACCAAAUAUCCCCAAUCUCUCUCUCUCUCUCUCUUUCUCUCUCUCUCUCUCUCUCUCUCUCUCUCUCUCUCUCGACUGUAAGCAUGGCAGACAACGGCGUCGAGCGAUGGCAGCGGCAGUGGCAGCGUGAGACGGCAUCGAUCAGUGGCAGACGACAGCGUCAAGCAACGACGAGCAGCGAGCAGCGUGAGACAGCGAGCAACGACAAACGAUGGUGGUCUAGUGUUUGAAUGAGAUACACAUUGUUGUAAAGCAGAAGCUGCUUGGAGAGCCAGUUGGUGAAACACUGCUGGGAAAAAAAAUAUUUCCCCGAGUAGGUUUGCUUGUGGAAUGCAUGCCUAUGAAGAAUGCGACUUAACUUUUAUUUUUGUUAGCCACGAAAAAUUAUGAGGAAAAUUUUUAAUUUUGGUUUAUGUUAUUUUGAAUUAUGAACAACAUUAUGUAUUUAAGCAUUAUGUAUUUAAUCAUU